rnacentral:rRNA from 1 species
GGGUCAGUAGGUUGGUCGUGCCACCGGUACGUACUGGUCUCACUGGUUCCUCCUUCCUGAAGAACCGUAAUGCCAUUAAUUUGGUGUUGCGGGGAAACAGGACUGUUACUUUGAAAAAAUUAGAGUGUUUAAAGCAAGCUAACGCUUGAAUACAUUAGCAUGGAAUAACGAAAUAGGACGAUCGAUCCUAUUUUGUUGGUUUCUAGGAUUGACGUA